UAAAACAAUCCUAAUCAUAAUCAAAAUACAAUCCUAAUAGGUCUCAUGUUGACCGUAAAAUUUUGAGGCCGGUAAUUAUAAUCCAUAAUAAGCCCAUUCAUAAAUGUGAGUUAGUAGGCCUCAUUAAAACCCUUUAAAAUUUCAGACCUAUACAAUAAUUUGGGCCUCAUUCCAGCCCAUUAAAUAUUAUCAUUGAGUCCAAUAAAUUAAAACGGGCCUGAUCAACGACGGCCCAUAUCCACACCCUAUAAAAUAUCUAUUUGAAAUUCAAUUUUAAACCACAACCCAUUCAAAAUUUAAUUUUGAAUUUCGAAUCCCCAACCAACUCCAACCAUCCUACAACCCAUUCAAAAUUCAAUUUUGAAUUUCAAAUCCCCAACAAACUCCAACCAUCCAACAACCCAUUCAACAUCCAAUUUUGAAUUUCGAAUCCCCAACUAACUCCAACCAUCCAACAACCUAAUCAAAAUCCAAUUUUGAAUUUCGAAUCUCCAACCAACUCCAACCAUCCAACAACCCAUUCAAAAUCCAAUUUUGAAUUUUGAAUCUCCAACCAACUCCAACCAUCCAACAACUGAUUCAAAAUUCAAUUUUGAAUUUCGAAUCCCCAAUCCCAACCAACCACAACAACCUAUUUAAAAUUCAAUUUCGAAUUUCGAAUUUCGAAUCUCUAACUGACUCCUCAAAAUAUCUCUCGCCACCCCUCCCAUUAUAAAUAUGAGAAUCAAAAUCAAAUGUCGGACGAUAGACGGAGAAGAG
rnacentral:lncRNA from 1 species